GUCCCCACCAAAACAAAAACCAACACCAACUCUCCGCCCCUAACGGCUGCGCCUCCUUCCCUCACUCUCCCUUCCCCUAGCCAAGACCAGAGAACCAAAGGAGCGGCGCCUGAUCUCCCUCACCCCUCUCUCGGUUGCAGCAAAAUCGACCAAAUCAGCCUCAUUUUCCAACAACCCGACAACCAGCCACAUUUCCACAGCCCCCAUCUUCCACAGAUCUGCCUUCACUCCAGCCGCCCAUAAAUUUGGGCAAACCAGCGGCGUCUCUGCAGCAGCGCCGUCCAAAGAUCCAGCAGACCCAGCUCCUUCUUCCAGCAGCAACGGCCCCUCCCAGUACAGCAGCGCCGUCUUCCUCCAACAGUAGCCGAGCAUGGCGGCGCCCAAGGAGUCAGAUCAGUCGGCCGUCUCCAGCUUCUCCCUCCCUCAGCAACAGCACCAGCACCGCCACCGGUUUCCUGCUUCAAUCGACCACCGACAGCUCCUCAUCCACGACCGAUCUGCCACCGGAGAAGAAGAAGAAACCCAUAAUAGACCAAUCUGUAGAAGAAACAGAUCCGAAACCGAGAAGAAGAAAAGGAGAAGCUGAUCUGAUAAAAAGAAAAAAACCGAAGCAGAUUUAAAGAAAACGAAAAUAAAAUCUAAAAUCAACUGUUUGUGGCCCUUUUUUUUGCAUUUCUUGUUG
rnacentral:lncRNA from 1 species